rnacentral:rRNA from 1 species
UACGUAGGGUGCAAGCGUUAAUCGGAAUUACUGGGCGUAAAGCGUGCGCAGGCGGUUGUGCAAGACAGAUGUGAAAUCCCCGGGCUUAACCUGGGAACUGCAUUUGUGACUGCAUGGCUAGAGUGUGUCAGAGGGGGGUAGAAUUCCACGUGUAGCAGUGAAAUGCGUAGAUAUGUGGAGGAAUACCGAUGGCGAAGGCAGCCCCCUGGGUCAAGAUUGACGCUCAUGCACGAAAGCGUGGGGAGCAAACAGG